rnacentral:rRNA from 1 species
CAGUCGCCACGGGAAUACAGAGGGUGCAAGCGUUAAUCGGAAUUACUGGGCGUAAAGCGUGCGUAGGCGGCUUUUUAAGUCGGAUGUGAAAUCCCUGAGCUUAACUUAGGAAUUGCAUUCGAUACUGGGAAGCUAGAGUAUGGGAGAGGAUGGUAGAAUUCCAGGUGUAGCGGUGAAAUGCGUAGAGAUCUGGAGGAAUACCGAUGGCGAAGGCAGCCAUCUGGCCUAAUACUGACGCUGAGGUACGAAAGCAUGGGGAGCAAACAGGAUUAGAUACCCGGGUAGUCCCUGUCUCUUAUAC